CCUCUCUUGAUACCGAGACACCACCAUCACCAAGUCUCAUUUCCUUCUCUGCACACUCCACCGAAACCACUGCAAUUUCUCUCCACAACCACACCAUACCUCUUCCUCUGCCUUGACCGAGAGCAUCCGAGAGAGAGGGCUGCUUGGUGAGCUGCAUCCGAGAGCUAGGAGGAGGGAACGUGAGCUGCCAGAAAUUUUCUGGUCCUGCCGUGAGUUGGAGUAAAGCCAGGGAGGAGAUUUGCAGGAAGCUUCACCAUUUUGUACCUUCAUCCCCACCAACUCCAACCAACCGACCUCAAAUCCACCAGCCACAACCAAUUCCAGCCGCAACUUAGGAGCCAGGAACCACCGACUGCACUUGGCCGAGAGCUAGGGAAGAAAUUUCUGGAAUAUUUCGUGUGAAGGAUUAGCUGCUAUCUGAGGUAAUUUCUGGUCUAAUUAGGUUGAUUAUUAGUUGAGCAAGCUACAUCUGAACUUGCAUGUUCAGAUUAUGCAGUCGGAUGUUGAAAUCCAACCAUUGGAAAAAAAUUCUGUUUUGUUAAAAUGUUGCUACCGAGACUUUGAGGAGAUAAUGCAACUCCAUUUGUGUUUUUCUGUGGCAUCUGAACACCUAAGUGCCUUUAGCUGAGUGAAGACUUGAAGAUUUAGACCAUGCAUGUUGAAUUGUGCAUUCGGAUGAUGUGUUAAAGCAGAGAAAAUUUCUGGUUUGGUUAAGAAAAUUUCUGCCGAGGAGCUGGCUUGGGAUUGUAAUUUUAUUUCUGACUUCCUGCGAUAAUCUGAGCUCAAUUAGGUGUUUAACCAACUAAUAACAAUAAGGUUAAGUCAUCUAAGAACUUGCAUGUGGGGGCUAGGCAUCCGGAUGAGAUUUUUUAAGAAAAGAAUUUCUGAUAUGUGCUAGUAUAAAAACUACCGAGAGCUUAGCUGGAUUAUUGCAGCCUAAUUUGGUUCGAUUUUGUUGUGUUGUUUAAGCUUAUAACCAUAAUUAGAUAGUUAAUUACCAGUUAAUUAAGCUCUGCAUGCAGCUAAUUAGUAGUUUAAACCAGAGAAAAAAAAAUAAAGAUAAAAUCAAGGGCAAUCUGCCAUGCAUGUUCAUCCGAACCAAGCAGGAGAAUUUUAGAAAAUUUCGAUGUUAAAGGUUGCGUUGGAAUCUUAACUUGAUUUUUAAAUUGUUCCUUGAAACUUGAUGGAUGGAAAUGCCUGGAAAAUGUUGUUUUGGAUUCUAUAAGAAGUGUAUGGAUGGUUUGAAUAAAAACAUUUUGGUGUUAAAGGAGAAAAAGGAGUUUUCACAAGUGAAAAAUUGAAAUUUCAGAUUUUCGGAUGUCCCUGACCAGUCCCAAUAAACUGUUUAUAUCUUGGUGUAGGAAAAUCCGUUUAAGGCGCCGUUAGUGGCAUUUGAAACUAGAAUCAUAGGCCUUUGUCCUGUAGAAAUUUCGUAUUUUUCCUUCAAAUGUACUGCUGUCUGUGAAUCCUUGAAGUAGACUGUUUUAGUAGGAAUGUCCUGUUCUUCGUGAAACUAAAUUUUGAUUUGGUUUGAUCUUGUAGCUUACUUGUGGGUUAAAUUCUGGAUUAAAUUGUGGUUGGAAGUAAUUGCUGUUGUCAAGGGCUAAUGAUUGAUGAAGCCCUUGGCCAUUUGAAUGACUUUAUAAGUACUACUGGGUGAUAAAAGUUAAUUGCUGGAAUGUCUGGGAGGCCGUACUUUUAUUUUUAUUUGCUUAUGAUGGGUUUGCUGAAACCAAGUGCUAAUGAUUGAUGAAGCCUUGGUCGUUCAUUUUAUUUUUAUCAAUAAUGCAUUUGUUGAAAUCUGGGGCUAAUGAUUGAUGAAGCCCUAGUGAUUUGCUAUGUGAUUUUUGCCAUAUCUGAUCCAUAAUAUGAUUUCAAAACGGAAUCGGAGCUGUGAAAGUCGUUUCUAUCUUGCGAACUCGAGUAACUGUGAUCAUAUUAAUCAAAAAUAUUUUCCAGCUAGUAUUAAAUUAUAAAAACUCAAUAUCUAGUGUUUUGCCUAAAACUUUCCAACCCGAUAAUUUCCUUUAGCUCAAACUAGCCUUAUUACCUUUGGAAAAUGGUUUUUCUAGUUUCUAAAACUCUAGCCUUGCUUUACUCCUUUUCUUCUCCCUAAGAAUUGGCCUUGGCUAGUUAACUAUAGGAAAAAAGUGCCAAAAUACGAGUUUUAAUAAUUUUAGUUAAAAGCAUAGAAACUUGCUCGGCAAGAAACCUUAUUUUUUUAGGUAAAAUAGUUUUAGUAAUAAUUUUUGCAAAAACCAUAGCUUUAAAGAAAUGUUCAAAGUAACUUCCUAACGUGGAUUUUAAGAGGUUUGUCGACUUAUCUCAAGAAAAUAAUACUAGUUACCCUUUUAUAAGGAAAAGUACCUUAAGGAAAAUUAUAAGAAACAUUUCUUCUACUUUUGUCAAGUUUUAACCUAAGGGACUCUUGAUUCUUCUAAGGAAAAGUAGAUUAGUAGUAUAUUAGAUAUACCUCGAUGUGUAUAAGCUAAAAACUGAAUAGAAACUUAUAGUUUCAAAAUUUUGUAUUCUAGGAUAUUACGAGGACGCGGAAUUCGAUUCCCAACUUGAUAUCUGAACUCCACUCUUGGUGAGUGUCCCUGUUUGUUCUAUGCUUACCUGUUUAAAGUGCAUUCUUGUCUCGAUAUGUGAUAAUUUGCAAAAUUGGUUUUUGACCCAUCGAAGUGAGCUGUGUGUACCUUCUCGUACUAGCCAUUCGAGUGGUGACUUGUGCAAAACAUUUUUCUCCUAAAUCCUUGAAUCCAAAUGGAGUUGCGUCGUUGGGUGAACCCCUCGACUUCUGAACCCAACUACCAUGAAUCUAAAUGGAGUUGCGUCGUUGGGUGAAUCUCUCGACUUCUGAAUCCAACUACCAUGAAUCUAAAUGGAGUUGCGUCGUUGGGUGAAUCCCUCGACUUCUGAAUCCAACUACCAUAACGUCGUUGGGUGAAUCCCUCGACCAAUCAUCUACGGGUAUAUCUCGAGUAUACUGCGUCCUUAGUCGGUGAGCGGGCCCGGGACAGGGGUAUGAAUGGUGACGGGUUAGGUAUCAAAAUGAGACACUCUACAUAGAUUAUAAGUAGUGAGAGUUGACGGAGGGUCAACUACGAUAAAUGGUGAUCGAGCGAGGAAAAUGGCUCCUGAGAGCCCAUGUAUCCUACCUUGUGCUGUUAUCCGCUUUCCUGGCUGUUUAAAUUUGCUAAGUUAUUAUCCGCUGUUUGUUACUACGUGAUUGCAUGUUUUGGGGCACCACUGAGCUUUAGCUCACCCCACGUUUAUUGUUUUCCUUAACAGGUUCUGGAAAUUGAAAGCUUGGAUACUCACUUAUGUUUUUCCGUUUGGAAUGUAUUUGAAAACUAUGACUUAUUUUGUGGGCUGUAAUGCGUUGAUUGGGAUAAUGUACUUUCAUUUUGGAUUGCCACUUGAAGCUGGAAAAUGUGUAACCCUAAUUCAAGUGUUUGGAUUGUAAGUUUGUAUUAGUGAUGUAUGUAGUUAUCUAUCCGGAUUGGUACGACUUUAUACCUUGACAUGUAGCACGUGGAACGUUUAAGAGUUUUGAUUAGCUAUUUUAUCACUGGUAUCUCUGAAGUUAAUGUGAUUUAAGGGAUGAUCGUAUUCGGGAAA
rnacentral:lncRNA from 1 species